CCUGGGGAGUACGGUCGCAAGAUUAAAACUCAAAGGAAUUGACGGGGACCCGCACAAGCGGUGGAUGAUGUGGAUUAAUUCGAUGCAACGCGAAAAACCUUACCUACCCUUGACAUGGAAGGAAUCCCCGAGAGAUUGGGGAGUGCCCGAAAGGGAACCUUCACACAGGUGCUGCAUGGCUGUCGUCAGCUCGUGUCGUGAGAUGUUGGGUUAAGUCCCGCAACGAGCGCAACCCUUGUCAUUAGUUGCUACGAAAGGGCACUCUAAUGAGACUGCCGGUGACAAACCG
rnacentral:rRNA from 1 species